rnacentral:piRNA from 1 species
UGAGUUCUCAAGGUACCUGCAAGAAAAA